rnacentral:rRNA from 1 species
GAUUAGAGUUUGAUCCUGGCUCAGGAUGAACGCUGGCGGCGUGCUUAACACAUGCAAGUCGAACGAUGAAGCCCAGCUUGCUGGGUGGAUUAGUGGCGAACGGGUGAGUAACACGUGAGUAACCUGCCCUUAACUCUGGGAUAAGCCUGGGAAACUGGGUCUAAUACCGGAUAGGAGCGUCCACCGCAUGGUGGGUGUUGGAAAGAUUUAUCGGUUUUGGAUGGACUCGCGGCCUAUCAGCUUGUUGGUGAGGUGAUGGCUCACCAAGGCGACGACGGGUAGCCGGCCUGAGAGGGUGACCGGCCACACUGGGACUGAGACACGGCCCAGACUCCUACGGGAGGCAGCAGUGGGGAAUAUUGCACAAUGGGCGCAAGCCUGAUGCAGCGACGCCGCGUGAGGGAUGACGGCCUUCGGGUUGUAAACCUCUUUCAGUAGGGAAGAAGCGAAAGUGACGGUACCUGCAGAAGAAGCACCGGCUAACUACGUGCCAGCAGCCGCGGUAAUACGUAGGGUGCGAGCGUUAUCCGGAAUUAUUGGGCGUAAAGAGCUCGUAGGCGGUUUGUCGCGUCUGUCGUGAAAGUCCGGGGCUUAACCCCGGAUCUGCGGUGGGUACGGGCAGACUAGAGUGCAGUAGGGGAGACUGGAAUUCCUGGUGUAGCGGUGGAAUGCGCAGAUAUCAGGAGGAACACCGAUGGCGAAGGCAGGUCUCUGGGCUGUAACUGACGCUGAGGAGCGAAAGCAUGGGGAGCGAACAGGAUUAGAUACCUUGGUAGUCCAUGCCGUAAACGUUGGGCACUAGGUGUGGGGACCAUUCCACGGUUUCCGCGCCGCAGCUAACGCAUUAAGUGCCCCGCCUGGGGAGUACGG